UUAAGCCAUGCGAGUCGAACGAGUUUAGGCUCGUGGCGUACGGCUCAGUAACACGUGGAUAACCUACCCUUAGGACUGGGAUAACCCUGGGAAACUGGGGAUAAUACUAGAUAGGCAAUUUUUCCUGGAAUGGUUUUUUGUUUAAAUGUUUUUUCGCCUAAGGAUGGGUCUGCGGCCGAUUAGGUAGUUGGUUAGGUAACGGCUUACCAAGCCAUCGAUCGGUACGGGUUGUGAGAGCAAGAGCCCGGAGAUGGAACCUGAGACAAGGUUCCAGGCCCUACGGGGUGCAGCAGGCGCGAAACCUCCGCAAUGUGAGAAAUCGCGACGGGGGGAUCCCAAGUGCCAUUCUUAACGGGAUGGCUUUUCAUUAGUGUAAAGAGCUUUUGGAAUAAGGGCUGGGCAAGACCGGUGCCAGCCGCCGCGGUAA
rnacentral:rRNA from 1 species